AACUCUGAUGAUUCCCUUGACUAUUCUGACAUGCACCCAUGGAUUCGCCAUGCUCUUAAUAGCAAGGCCUGGGCUAUAGGCAUACUGAAACAUUCCGGCCCCAAGCCCCUUUCUAUGCAGGGUUAUCCCUUUCCUUUCACCUCGGUGUACUCGAAAAUUUUAGGCCUUUGCCAUUGUUCUAUAGAUGACUGGGUUGCCUGGUGUUAGACGACCUAGAGUUGAUGAGUUGCGCCAUCCAUGUCACCAUCUUUUCGUCAACCAAAUUGAAGAGUUUGACCAUUACCAGUACACACAUCGAGGAAGAUUUCCCUAUAGAAUUUCAGCAUCUUGUGAUAGAUAUGCCAAACCUAGUCUCAGUGCAGUAUUCUCAGUGCAGUAUAAUUUGGAAACCAUCAGGUUCAGUGCAGUAUUCUCAGUGCUCUUUCAUACGCCACCAAAUUGACUGUGGUAUCUCCGUCUGUCUUUGAAGAUGUAUGCUUCCAACUUUAAAAUUAUAAUUUGCUCCAAUUUGUUACCUUUAUAUAUCCUUUUACACGUUUCAUGAUUUGUUUGCAGGUGGUGCCAAAGGUAUUGCAGCAUGAUCUUCUAAGUUGUGAGACAUUCAGCAAUCUGGAACAAUUGCACCUUGGCGAAUGGUUUUCGAGUCCUGGGUGCUAUCCACUAAUAUGCUUGCUUCGGCGCUCACCUGGCAUAAAGAAACUUGUCCUGCAACUUGACGAGGCAAGAUAUUGCACCCCUCCCUCUGCAUGAAAUGAUUUUUCUGCUUAUAUGAAGUGAGUUUAACAGUGUCUUCUUUUUAACAUACCAGAGUGGAGAUGAUGACUAUGAGAGUCUUCCAAAUGCUGAUGCUGAAAUAGAUCCUCCUUGCCAGGAAGCAAAUAACAAACUUUAGCUGCAAAGAACUUCGAGAAAUCAGUAUCCACUGCGACCCACGUAGUGAUAAAAGGGCCCAAAUCAUCACGCGCAUCUUAUCAGCCCAUCUUUGUCCUCUCUCUGAAAUCAAAAUCUGGCCCAUUACCACUUAGGUUUAGGAUGGUAAGUUUCUUAAACCAUGCAUGCUUACAAAAUCGUGAAAUUACACCUCUGACGCUUAAGAGAUUUGAGUUAGCCAUUUAUGUAUCGUGGGGAUUGACGAACAUCCUUGCAUGCUGCUGUAGGUGAUCAGGAUUUGGUGACCUGGUAGCUAUCUGACCAUGGGUUAGAGCCUAUGGCACUUGGAAGGCUUGCUAUUUGUCGGAUCGAUGACAGUACUCGUGACUUGGCAAGUGCAACUGCCAUGUACCUGACCGCUGUCUUCGGUCAGCGUAUCGCUUGCUACCUUAAUUUGAUGCUUUUGCUGACCCUUUCUGGCUUAAUGUUUUUCUUCGCCGUCUUGCACCUAGCAUGGCAGAAAUAACACCAGUUGUCUGGUCAACUAUGUUUGUAAUUCAGCGUGUGGUAAAAAUGGUGCACGCUGGUCAUGCAGCUUGAUUCUUGUCCAAUGUGUGGCUAGUUUUAAUUACCGGGCUAGUGCUUGUGAAGCGGAAAAGAAACGUCCAUUUGGUCUUGGCCCCAAUGCUCUGAUGAUGGUUGACCUUAUGAUCGACCCGGUGGUCCGCCUCAGGCGACUUCUCCUCGGCCUCCGCUUAUUGGGCUCUCUUCCUAUGUUGGUCGACGCUGCUGGGAGCCAAGCAGGCAGCAGCUAUGGAAAGUGCAGGCACCGGGUUGAUGCCAUUUUGUGGUUGGCUGGUAAUCCAUGGUUGCUACUGGACUUCUAACCGGCUACGGUGCCAUGGGUUGCAGGACAGGUAUGAUUGUGCCCUUUGUGCGCGGGAGGUGGAAACUCUGGACCACCUUUUGACUGGUUGUGUAUAUAGUCGAGAAAUUUGGUUUCGUAUCCUCAGUUGCAUCGGCAUGCCUGGGUUGACACCGCAAGUAGAAAUCCCAUUUGCAAAAUCAUGGAUCCAAGCACGAAAGAUGGUCGCGAAGAUUAGGCGGAAGGGAUUUGAUUCCCUUUUAUAGUUGGUCACUUGGUCGAUUUGGAAGGAGCGGAACUAUAGGGCCCAUAAGCGCUCGGCUCUGCCCUCAGUGAUUUUGGAGGAGGCUAGGAUUUGGGAGGAAGCCGAUUUUGUUAGCUUAGCACCGGUUCUUAGCUUCAUUAGGUCGUGUCAUUUUUGUUAUCUUUUUUUCUCUUUAAGUACCAGAUUUGUAACAUUUGUAACCUUAUACUGUUAAUGAAAAACGUGCUAUGUACGUCUUAAAAAAAUGAUCAAUGGUUAGAAGAAUUUUUGUUUUCCGAUCAGUUUUCGACUGAUCAUCUAUGAUCAGUUCCCUCCUCUCUUUACCUCCGCUAAAAUAGAGAUGCAAGAGCAACUCCUUUCCCUACAUUCCUGGUUAAAGGAGAUUGAGGGGAAAACACCUCUCCAACACAUUGAGAAAACAAUCUCUUUUCCCUAUAUUUUUUUCACCACAAUUACUUGCAAUUUAGUGCUUCUAAGGUUAUGUUUGUUUUCCUUCUAAAUUAUAUUAACUGGAUUAUGGUUCAUGGGUAGGAUAGUAAAAUGCUAUCCUGGAAUCAUUUUAAAAUAUUUAUGAUCCUACAAUGAUCCUAAAGUAUUGUUUUACCCUAUUACCUAUAAUUCAUAUUAUAUAAUUUGGAUUGAUUAUAAUCUGAAAUAAACAGCCAAUUCGUUAGCGUUAGCGACUUUCCAUACAAAAACUACUCGUUUUGAACCGUAAAAUUCUGCCCAUUCCAUCGCAUUGCAGCCGCCAUCUGCUUAUAGAUGUCAACAACUGCUUGGGAACACGUGGAAAGGCCAGAGACACGAGAUAGCUUAGAAUUAGAAAUUUAUAGGAGAAAAAUAAAGGAUUUCGAGACACAUGAAUACGAUUCGUGUCUCCGGAUGGGCAUCGACGAAAAAAGCACAUAAAUCAUGGAGAAAUGCUAGGAUGGCUGUACCUUUGCUUCCUUAAUCGACCAAAUAAAUCCCUCCUGAAAUUUUCCAUCUACUGAUUUACUCCCUCCGUUCUUUUUUAUAAUGACUAAGAAAAACAAUCCUACUUAUCAACCACUUAAUUAUAUCAUUAGUAUUCCUCGUAAACAAGCGAUUAGUUAUGGCUCAUACUUCUAGAUGCUCACAUAGCCAAUCUCACGUGGAAGAACGAAGGGUCACAUGUUAAUUCUGAAAUAACCAUUAAGUGGAUGGGUAAUUUUUUAAUUUGAAAAUAUCCCAAUCAAAAGAGAACGGAGGGAGUAAUUAUUAGCACUGACAGCGUGGGCCCCCUGUCCCAGCGACCCAGCCUCCCUCCUUACAGACACAGCACGCACACACUCCACUCCAGUCCCCAUUUCCCCAAGCGCCGAGCCGCCGGCGCCGGACCCCGACCGCCGACUGCGACCCCGCAGCCGGGGCUCACACGCCCAGCCACUACGGCGCCGCCCGCGGACCACGACCGCACCGCCACCGCCUGCACGAGCAUGGAGACGCCUCCUCCACCAAUAGAUCUAGCGGCCAGCCGCCGGGGCGAGCGCAGGUGAAGUGAAGGAACCGGUCGGCCUGCCUGCUUCCUCGACCCCCAUUGCUGGAGCAUCAAUCGGGCCGCCCCGAAUCCUUGUUCAAAUCUUCCGAUUUCAGCCGGCAUUGCAAACCCUAGCUGGUAUGCUAUUGCUCUUGUUCUCGUCGCUGCUUCCUUGAACCAGAUGAGGCUUGGUUUUGUUGACCCCUUUGGGCUACAUUCUUAUGGAUCUUGUCCCCUGCAGGUUAUAGAGGCGCAACUGAGAAGAUUCCGAUUCCGAGGGGGCCGAGGGGGGAACAUCGUUGGACUAGAAGUGAGUGUGCCCGGUCUCCCAUUCCCAUUUCUUUCUGUUAUUAGGUGUUGGUGGCAUGCUGUAGCGCAUUAUACUGGACUGUCCGUUGUGUACUGCUCGGUGUAUUAGGUAUUAGUUUAUACUCUAUGGCUGCGUUGUUUAUUUGCUUGAGUUUCUUAAUUCGGUGGCAUUGCUGAUUUAAAGACAAUGCACGUGCGAUGCAUAGAGGAUAAGACCUCCUCAGUGCACUGCCUUCAUACGAAGCAUUGUUUAAAAAUUGGUAAGGUCUAUAAUAUAGUUGUUAAACAAACCAAUCACAUCUGGGAAGAGCGCAUUAGCAAACAGCAAUUGGUGCUCAUGGCACAGUGCUGCAUUACUAGCUGAGAAGAAAUGUGAAGAGGACUUAGAUGAGUGGAAGAAGAUUGGACUUAGAUGUUGACAUUUGGUCCUGCCUUUGUUGAAAAUCUUAUUUGAAGAUUAUGCUGGUUGGCUGGUUGCGCUACCAUCUCAUUCUAAAACGAGCUCAUGUUAGUGCCACCCUGGAAUAAAACCCGAGUAGACUGAUCUCAGGAGGCUAACAAGUCCAUUUUCCAGUAUUGAUUGGUGAGGGAUGUAAACUACCUAGAUUGUCUAUUGUCUUAUGUCUCAAACUCAUUUGUUUUCUUCUUGCAAUAAUGCAUUCGUGAUUGGAUAUUGCCUGUGUAAUGUAGUCCUUUUGCUUACAUUGCUCCUCUUAUGUGGGUUCCUUUGUUAUGCAGAGACAGCAUCAGCGUGCAACAUUCAAAUGCCCCUGAUGAAGCAAGCUCUUCGAGGAACAGCGAUCCCUGGCUCUUCCAGUCAGAAGAGUGCCCCCGACAGAAUCAGUGCCCUACCGGAUGAGCUGCUGCUUCAUGUCAUGUACUUCCUAACCCUGCAGGAGGCAGCGCAGACAAGUCUGCUUUCACGGAGGUGGCAGAAUCUCUGGGCAUCUUUGAUGUGGCUCAAUUUUGACGCAGCCAAGUUCAGCAGCAUGAGAACUUACAGAAAGUUUGUUAACAAUGCGCUUCUGAUCCGAAGUUCAUUGCCAGUUCCGGUGCCACUGGAUGCAUUUUGGAUUUCUGCUGAAUGCGACAACUCUGAUGAUUCCCUUGACUAUUCUGACAUGCACCCAUGGAUUCGCCAUGCCCUUAAUAGCAAGGCCUGGGCUAUAGGCAUACUGAAACAUUUCGGCCCCAAGCCCCUUUCUAUGCAGGGUUAUCCCUUUCCUUUCACCUCGGUGUACUUGAAAAUUUUAGGCCUUUGCCAUUGUUCUAUAGAUGACUGGUUUGCCCAGAAUCUCUCUUCCUGUUGCCCGUUGCUGGACGACC
rnacentral:lncRNA from 1 species